rnacentral:rRNA from 1 species
UACGUAGGGGGCUAGCGUUGUCCGGAAUCAUUGGGCGUAAAGAGCGUGUAGGCUGCUCGGUAAGUCCGCUGUAAAAGUCAAAGGCUCAACCUUUGAAUGUCAGUGGAUACUGCCGGGCUAGAGUCCGGAAGAGGCGAGUGGAACUCCUGGUGUAGCGGUGGAAUGCGCAGAUAUCAGGAGGAACACCGGUGGCGAAGGCGGGUCUCUGGGCAACAACUGACGCUGAGGAGCGAAAGCGUGGGGAGCGAACAGG